rnacentral:rRNA from 1 species
CUGCUUUUAUACGGGAAGAAACCACUCUUCGUGAAGAGUACUGACGGUACCGUAAGAAUAAGGAUCGGCUAACUCCGUGCCAGCAGCCGCGGUAAUACGGAGGAUCCAAGCGUUAUCCGGAAUCAUUGGGUUUAAAGGGUCCGUAGGCGGCCUUAUAAGUCAGUGGUGAAAUCUCCCGGCUCAACCGGGAAAUGGCCAUUGAUACUGUCGGGCUUGAAUUAUUAGGAAGUAACUAGAAUAUGUAGUGUAGCGGUGAAAUGCUUAGAUAUUACAUGGAAUACCGAUUGCGAAGGCAGGUUACUACUAGUUGAUUGACGCUGAUGGACGAAAGCGUGGGUAGCGAACGAGGAUUAGAUACCCUCGUAGUCCACGCCGUAAACGAUGGAUACUAGCUGUUCGGAAGCAAUUCUGAGUGGCUAAGCGAAAGUGAUAAGUAUCCCACCUGGGGAGUACGAACGCAAGUUUGAAACUCAAA